GUUCUCUUGGGCAGCACAUGCACCAAAAUUGGAACAAUACAGAGAUUAGCAUGGCCUCUGGGCAAGGAUGACAUGAAAAUUCGUGAAGCGUUCCAUAGUUUU
rnacentral:snRNA from 1 species